rnacentral:lncRNA from 1 species
CCAAAAAAUUCCAAUUUUUUACCCAAAAAAUUCCAAGUUUUUGGGGAUUUUUUGGGAUAUUUUGGGGGAUUUUUUGGGAUUUUUUUGGAAUUUUUUCAGAAUUUUUCCGGGAUUUCUUUGGAAUUUUUUGAGGAUUUUUUAGGGAUUUUUUGGGGAUUUUUUCAGGAAUUUUUGGGGAAUUUUUUCAGGUUUUUUUGGGAACUUUUUUGAGAAUUUUUUAGGGAUUUUUUGGGGAUUUUUUGGAGGAUUUUUUUUUUGAUUUUUGGGAUUUUUUUCUGGAUUUUUUCGUGAUUUUUUUGAGGAUUUUUUUGGGGAAUAUUUUAGAAAAUUUUUGGGGAAUUUUUUCAGGAUUUUUGGGGACUUUUUGUGGGAUUUUUUAGGAAUUUUUUGGUGAUUUUUUGGGUGAUUUUUAAGGGAUUUUUUGGGGAAUUUUUUGGGACUUUUUAGGAAUUUUGGGGGGAUUUUUUGUGAAAAAAAUCGGAUUUUUUGGUGGAUUUUUGGGGAAUUUUUGGGGAUGUUUUAGGAAAUUUUUUGGAAUUUUUUGGACGAUUUUUUGUGAAAAAAAUCCUAUUUCUUGGGGGAUUUUUGGGGGAUUUUUUGGGUUAUUUUUACAAAUUUUUUCAGAUUUUUCAGGAUUUUUUUUGGGAUUUUUUGGGAAUUUUUUGGGAUUUUUUGGAGAUUUUUUGGGGAUUUUUUUGAGAUUUUUUGGGGAACUUUUUGGGGAAUUUUUUGGGAAUUUAUUGGGAUUUUUUGGGGGGAAUUUUUGGGGGAAUUUUUCUAGAUUUUUUUUGAGAAUUUUUUGAGGAUUUUUUCAGGAAUUUUCUGGGGGAUUUUUUGGGAAUUUUUGGGAUUUCUUUCUGGAUUUUUUCGUGUUUUUGUAGGAAAUUUUUGGGGGAUUUUUUUCGGGAUUUUUUGGGGAAUUUUUGGGAAUUUUUUUAGGAAUUUUUUAGUGAUUUUUUAAGUAAUUUUUAAAUGACUUUUUUAGUGAUUUUUUUAGUCAUUUUUAAGGGAUUUUUUGGGGAUUUUUGGGCCAUUUUUUGUGAAAAAAAUCCGAUUUUUUGGGAAUUUUUGGGGCAAAUUUUGUCCGAUUUUUUUCAAAUUUUUUGUGUAUAAAAACUGAAUUUUUUACCACAUUUUCACCCACCUAAUAUCCUCAUCAGUGACCACAAAAGCCCUGCACAGGGGCUGGGCCGUGUUCAACCAAAUCCCCGGGAAAAUGGGAAAUUUCACAUUAAAAAAUCCAAAUUUUGGGGGAAAAAAUCAGGGAUUUUCUGAGAAUUUUUUGGGAUUUUUUGGGGAAUUUUUGCGAAUUUUUGGGGAAUUUUUUCAGAAUUUUUUGGG